UACGUAGGGGGCAAGCGUUGUCCGGAUUAUUGGGCGUAAAGAGCGUGUAGGCGGCUUGGUAGGUCCGCUGUGAAAACUCGAGGCUCAACCUCGAGAUGUCGGCGGAAACCACUUGGCUAGAGUCCGGAAGAGGAGAGUGGAAUUCCUGGUGUAGCGGUGAAAUGCGCAGAUAUCAGGAAGAACACCUAUGGCGAAGGCAGCUCUCUGGGACGGUACUGACGCUGAGACGCGAAAGCGUGGGGAGCGAACAGG
rnacentral:rRNA from 1 species